GCUCCGGACCCUGUGGCCGCCAGGCGCGGGGGCGUGCGCGCGGCGGGUCUGGGGCCGCAACCCUGUGGGCGCGGGGCUGGCUCUGGCCUCCGCCCCCCGGCGCGGUUAUCUGUCCCUGCUGCGCUGGUCCGUCAGCCUUCAGCCUCCCGAUACGGGCACGCCCCGCUCCCCUGCCCCUGCUGGGCAUUCUUCAGACUCCUUUGGGUACCGCCCUCUUUUUGAUUCUGGAAAUGGUUUUAUUAAAAACAGGAUGAAUUAGGAGUCCGGGACGGUCUGCCAAGGGCCGUCCCCCGAGGCAGGGGGAGGACCGCAGGAGGCAGCCAUCGUCCUCCCCCGAGCCCUACUCAGGGCGCGCCUCUCCCGCCCUGCUCCGCCCAGGCCUCUCCGCCGGGUCCUCGCCUCUGAGUCCGGCCGCGCUCCGCACCCUUGGCCUCCGGUCUUUAGGCCUCUUGCCGACCCUUCCUUCCCAGCAGUUGCCCAGGCAGGGAUAGAGACCAGGGGUGCAAGAACCACGCCGGCCUCACAGCCCAGGCCCCCUUCCUCGUGUGUUUUAGGAAGAGAUCACGCCGCUUCUUCGGUUGAGACGCACUAGCGGGAGACCUGCUACUCUGCCUUCCUGCUCCGCGGCAUUGCCACUUCAGUAGAGAAAAACGUCCUGCUGCCCCAUUUAGCAAUUGGCACAGCCUCGCCACCGCCAGGGCUCCGCUGGCCUUGUUUCCUUUCAGUCGCCUGUGAGUUAGGUACUGCCUUCUGAGAGACCUGGACUAGUCCCUUCAGGUUCAACUAAAUGCAUAACACAACCCUACCCCCAGGACGCUGACAAUAGAAAGGAAGAGACUGUCCGCGGAGUAGACGAGUGCGCCUGUAAGAACUCGGGAUUUUCCAGCCUUAUUCUGCACCACUCUCCCCUACAUGCCCAGUUCCCUGUGGGUAAACUGGCUCUGCCCGAUUCCUCCAAGACGACACCUUUCCAUUUCACAGCCCUUCCUAACACUCUUCUGCGCCUGCAAUGUCCUCUCCCCAACAUCUGCCUGUUGGAAGCGUUUUCACUGUUCCUCGGCUCAGUCGGCUGAAAUAUCGCUUCUGAUUGCUCAGAGGGAUGUUUCCCACUGUGGCACUCGCUCCCUAGUUAUUCCAUACCUCUCUCAGGUCACUGACAAGACUUGGGUCUGUCAUGCCGCAGUGCCCCUCACAGUGCAGUCCUCGAUAAAUGUUUGCCCAGUGUUAUUGAACCCAGUUAUCUUGGGUGCUGAUACUAGUUCUGGAACUGGCAUGAAUUUGGCUCUUGCUAUGGACCGAAUUUUGUCCCCACCCCUAAUGUGUGUGCCGAAGCGCUGAACCCCAGUGUGAUGGUUAUUUGUAAAUGGGGCCUUUGGGAGGUAAUCGGAUUUGGAUGAGGUCAUGGAGGUAGCAGGUCAUGAUGGGAUGAGUGCCUUUAUUAGGAGAGACACCAAAGAGCUUGCUUUUCUCUCACACUCUCUGUCCCCUACCCCCAACCUCAGCCCUCACCUCCCUCCUCCAUGUGCGAACACAGCAAGAAGGCCGCCAUCUGCAAACCAGGAAGAGGUCCAUCACUGAGGGGCCAAAGUGGCACCUUGAGCUUGGACUUCCCAGGCUUCAAGAACUGUGAAAAAUAAAUCCCUGUUGUUGAAGCCCCCCAGCCUAUGUUAUUUUGUUGCAGCAGCCGGAGCUGACUGACACAGCCGCAUGAUCACCGGCAAGUUCCUCCAUCGCUUGGGACUCUCUUUUCUUCUCUGUCAAAUGUGAAUAUUAAAACCUG
rnacentral:lncRNA from 1 species